GUCAGAAGGGCGCGCUGAUAAGAGCGAGAUAGUAGGGUUUCACUUCAUUGCUUAGAGGCUGUAAAAUCAGAUAAACACGAAGGUGAAAAGUUGAGCAUUUGGAAGAGUAGUGAUGUCAAGUGGCUCAUGAAAGCGCUGAGGUCAGAAGAAUGAAUGAUGUUGAAGUGUGGCAUGUUCAGGAGAACCAAUAGGAGGACAGACUGACUCGGGCAGCCAGAACUUCUGCUGAAAGCUCAGAGGCUUUGACCUUUGAGGUGUGAGGAUUGUGCAGGUAUGGGACAGACGCAGCCUGACCCCAACAACAGGGCAGCGGGGACACAAUCUGCUCUGAGACCCACUCCUGUGCUCAUCGUUCAUGAUGCAAUGGUCACUGAAUGGGAAGCUACUCUGUGAAGAUACCGCAGUGUCCCGGGGAGAGAUGGGAAGGAUUGAUAACCGUGCACACGUUCACACACACAAGCACAGACAGUCGAGGAGCUGUUUAUGCUUUCCCUUGCUGUGAGCCACCUCUCAGAUGCAGUCGAUAGCCAAACA